rnacentral:rRNA from 1 species
UACGAAGGGGGGCUAGCGUUGCUCGGAAUUACUGGGCGUAAAGGGCGCGUAGGCGGAUAGUUUAGUCAGAGGUGAAAGCCCAGGGCUCAACCUUGGAACUGCCUUUGAUACUGGCUAUCUUGAGUUCGGGAGAGGUGAGUGGAAUGCCGAGUGUAGAGGUGAAAUUCGUAGAUAUUCGGCGGAACACCAGUGGCGAAGGCGACUCACUGGCCCGAUACUGACGCUGAGGCGCGAAAGCGUGGGGAGCAAACAGGG